GUUGCCACAGCUUUGUGUGUUCUUUUGGAAGAGGUUUUCUCUUUGAGAGGUGACUGAAGCAAUGGUAAUGAGGAAUGCACUUGAAUGUCUCCACUGCUGUGUAUCUAUUGCUAGUUCAAACCAAAGAUCCAUCUUUCUCGCAGUAGAAUCGGAAAGAGGAAGAUCACAAAUGUAGCAGAGGUAAAGAAUCCCCUUUUUGGAGAUGGGUUUAUGCUGCCUGCCAGCUGUGGACUGGUUCUCUACUUUCGCAGCCUUAUUGCCAGCUUCAUUUUCCUUUUUUUUUUUUUUUUUUUUCCCUUCCCCCUCUUGGCAGGAUACAGCCGCGUCUGUCCCUGUUCUGGAGCUUUAGCACCUUGA
rnacentral:lncRNA from 1 species